rnacentral:lncRNA from 1 species
AUUUCCCAGGCACGCUGCACUGGGGUGGGACAGGGGAAGCAGCUGGAUACAGCGACUUGUGCUGCCACCACUGACAAGCUGUCAGGUAUCAUGAAUCAACACACUGUGCUUCUGAUCUGUGAAUCCUUUGGCUUGAACAAAAAAUGUGCAGUGUCUAGUAUCUCUCAUCACAAAUUUUUAUGAAGCAGCAUGAGGUUCUAGGCUGGAUGGAACUCAAGAGUGAGAAAUACUGCAUUAUGGGGUUUUUUCAUCUCUUUCUGUAGUUUUUCUCUUUUACGCUGGAGUGAUACAUUUCCUCAGAGAUGAAAUAUAAAAUUACUCUUUGUGCAGACCUGUCAAAGUUGAAAUGUUGAAAUUGAAAUAGCAGCUUUGGAUGCAGAAUACAACUGUAGAUCAAGUCAGCAUAGACCUUAAAAGGGAGAACUUGUGUUGUUUAAGUUUGAAAGCAUCUAUUUCCUGACCAGCUGCCAUUGUUUCACACCAGCCUUGGGAAGACUUGCUAAUUGUCUGUGCAAAUUAAGAAGCCUUGGUCCAGAUGGAAUCAGAUCUCUAAUAUCUGGCUUUUGAACUAUCAUGUGGACUACCAUCAGUGAAAUGUGUUGGCUAGGAAGCCACAGUGAAAGGGCUGCUAACCUGAAGAAAACUUUCAGAAAUGUCCCUAUGCUAAAUCAGGAGGAAGUCAAGACCUCUCAGCUUGUUGUGAGAAAUUGGAGGCAACAGCCUAGUGGAAGAGCUAUCACCUGAGACUGGGAAGAAGAAGAGUUAAAUUGCUUAAGAGUCUGGACUUGGCUAAUGUCACUUGAAUGACAAUAAAGUAAUAAAAAGUGAUAAAGUAAUGCCCUUC